rnacentral:rRNA from 1 species
UACGUAGGGCGCAAGCGUUGUCCGGAAUUAUUGGGCGUAAAGAGCUCGUAGGCGGUUUGUCGCGUCUGCUGUGAAAACCUAAGGCUCAACCUUGGGCUUGCAGUGGGUACGGGCAGACUAGAGUGCGGUAGGGGUGACUGGAAUUCCUGGUGUAGCGGUGGAAUGCGAAGAUAUCAGGAGGAACACCGAUGGCGAAGGCAGGUCACUGGGCCGCAACUGACGCUGAGGAGCGAAAGCAUGGGGAGCGAACAGG